rnacentral:snRNA from 1 species
AGCUUUGCGCAGUGGCAGUAUCGUAGCCAAUGAGGUUUAUCCGAGGCGCGAUUAUUGCUAAUUGAAAGAAUUAGGUUAGAACUCGAUUGUACCUUUUUGACUAGUUGGAAAGAAGGAACUAAACAUUUAUAGUUCCAAUAAACCUAACAUUG